GCAGCUUAUUCCUGAGGCAUCCAUGGAGGGCAGGUUGGGAAGACAUUCUGAGCAGCUGAGAAUUAAUUGAGCACAAAUGAAUGCACAGAGGACAUCAGAACAGGAUGCUUGUGGAAGAAAGGUAGUAUUACACAUCCUCCUGCUUCCUAAGCAGAGAGAACGCCACCCCCAGCUUUGUCUACAAGGAAAUCUAGAGCUGCCACUUAGGACAGGCAUCUCCACACAGUUGAGGGGCUGCAGUUUAGAGGAAGAAAUGGAGCUGACUGGUGUGGCUCAGAUUUGACAUUUCAACAAACAGGUCGAAUGUUCGAGGAAGCAGUUUUGGCUCUUUCUACAGGCUGAGGAGUUCAGCAAAUCACAUCGCUGGGGCGCGUAGACACAUAGAGUGUUGAAUAUGGUUGGACAUGCACUUCACACUUUAUCAGUCACAUCUGAAUAUGUUUGAAAACUUCGCCCACGCAGAGCCAAUGUUCAUGGAAAAGAAAUUCAUUUAGGGAGUGUGAUCUCCUUUAAGCAGAGUAUUUCAUUGUUUCUAAGGCCUGGGAAUGAACUACAAGUGACCUCCAUGUUCCUGUAGACAGUCAGAACUCUCAAAAGGUUUUUGAAUAAUAUAUGAAAGAACUUCACGGCUCGCCUCAUUUGUACCACAGGUGGUUUGGUGGUUGUGUUGAUGAUAAUGACUCUUUUAUAAAUGCCUUGAACAUGCACGUGUGUGUGUGUGUGUGUGUGUGUGUGUGUGUGUGUGCAUACAAAGCAGUGGAUGAAUUUCUGUUUUACUUAACUGCUUGGAAAAAUUUUGUCACAACUUAUGAAAAGAUACACUUUCUCUUAUUCUGGUAUUCUGAUAACGACAGUGAGGUUAUAUUCUGUAGCAAUUGUCUGUGAAUAAAAUUUUGUUAAGAUUAUUCAGUUUUCCUUUUUCUCCAAAGGCUUUUGGGUAGAAAAAUUCCUAUUGGACAUUUUUCAGAAGUUGAAUGCAUAAAUAAGCCAAAUAAAUAAUGAAAGCAUAAAUCACAUAUAAAAUGUUCUACUCAGCUGGUCUCUUAGAACUCCAAGUUUUAAGUUGGAUGGCUUUACUGGACUGUUACCUAUUACAGUUGCCUAAAGGAAUUGAAAAGGUUGGUAUGUAAUUCAAAUGCACUAUGUCUCAGUUUAACAACAGUAAAAUAGGACAAUAAUAUCUGUACUCUCCAUACUGUAUAAAAUAUUGUCAAAGUCAAUAAGUAUAUGUUUAAAAUCCCAUAUUAUACAUACAACUUUUAUUAUACAUUUUCUUCUACAGGGUAAAAAUAAACUUCCUUGUUUCCUGAAAAAA